CUCUGUGACUCCUACGGGGAGGCAGCAGUGGGGAAUAUUGCACAAUGGGGGAAACCCUGAUGCAGCCAUGCCGCGUGUGUGAAGAAGGCCUUCGGGUUGUAAAGCACUUUCAGUAGGAAGGAAGGUAGUGUAGUUAACACCUGCACUAUUUGACGUUACCUACAGAAGAAGCACCGGCUAACUCCGUGCCAGCAGCCGCGGUAAUACGGAGGGUGCGAGCGUUAAUCGGAAUUACUGGGCGUAAAGCGCAUGCAGGCGGCCUGUUAAGUCAGAUGUGAAAGCCCGGGGCUUAACCUCGGAAUUGCAUUUGAAACUGGCAGGCUAGAGUCUUGUAGAGGGGGGUAGGAAUUUCAGGUGUAGCGGUGAAAUGCGUAGAGAUCUGAAGGAAUACCAGUGGCGAAGGCGGCCCCCUGGACAAAGACUGACGCUCAGAUGCGAAAGCGUGGGGAGCAAACAGGAUUAGAUACCCUGGUAG
rnacentral:rRNA from 1 species